rnacentral:rRNA from 1 species
UACGUAGGGUGCGAGCGUUGUCCGGAAUUAUUGGGCGUAAAGAGCUCGUAGGCGGUUUGUUGCGUCGGCCGUGAAAACCUGCAGCUUAACUGUGGGCCUGCGGCCGAUACGGGCAGACUUGAGUUCGGUAGGGGAGACUGGAAUUCCUGGUGUAGCGGUGAAAUGCGCAGAUAUCAGGAGGAACACCGGUGGCGAAGGCAGCUCGCUGGGACGGUACUGACACUGAGGCGCGAAAGCGUGGGGAGCGAACAGG